rnacentral:misc_RNA from 1 species
CUAAGAGAAAGAUAAAUUAAGGCUAAUUCCAUUAACUCUUCCCUAUUCUUUUCUUUUGAUAAAAGAGUUUUUGAAUCUAAGUUUAUGAGGAAUUUUUGUAUUUAAUUUCUUGUUAAUGAUAUUAAGGUAUUUUAUUAGACCUGAGUUUCAAUUUAGAUUGAUGGGGGGUUUAGCUCAGUUGGCUAGAGCAUCGGCUUUGCAAGCCGAGGGUCAAGGGUUCGAGUCCCUUAACCUCCAUUGGGCAUGUAACCUGGAUUUAGGUUAAGCAUGCUGUUAAGCAAGUUUAUUAAAGGUUAAGAUCUUAACAACUAACAACUAACAACUAACAACUAACAACUAACAACUAACAACUAACAACUAACGGGUGAUUUAUAUAUAUAUAUAUAGGAUGGGAAUAAUCACUAGAAAUAGUAGUUAAUAUUAAAUAAGGUCAAUUAACAAAUUGACCAGUGAAGUUGAGCUUUUAAACUUUCUCUUAUAGGCAAGUCUAGAAUUAAAUUUUGAAAUGAGCGCAACUAUUGUUAUUUGUUGUCAUGCCAUGUAAUAGUGGGGACUCAGAUAGGCUUAUGGUUAUAAGUCGAGUCGGAGAAAGUAAAGAAUUAUGUCGAAUUAUUAUGGCUCUUAUGUUUUGCAAAUUACAUGCAUACUAGAAUGUUUUCUGUAAAGCGAAUCUAAACAGUAAUAUGAAUUAAAAUGUAUAAAUCAGGUUUUAGUUUAGAUUGAAUCCUAAAGCUUGACUUCAUGAAAUUGGAAUUGCUAGUAAUUGUAUGUCAGAAUGAUGCGGUGAAUAUGUUUUUGGGUCUUGUGCACACGUCUGUCAUAUCACCCUAGUUAAUAGCCAUUCAAAAGUUAUCAUUCUAAGCUGUAAGGUGGGAAAUUGUUUAGGGUAUGUUUAGUGUGAGGGGAUGGGUAGAGUCGUAAUAAGAUAGUCGUACUGGAAAGUGUGGCCUGGAUUACCUUUUCUUAAGAAAAGGUAAAACUUUAGAAAAAAUAAAUCUUUAACAAGUGUUUAGUAAUAAUCAGUUUUGCAUUAAAUUGAGCAUUGUUAGUAGUGAUUAUAAUUUUAAAUUUUGAGGUGAACUGUUUUUAUAUUGUUAAAUGUUUGCUUUAAAUCUAAAAUAAUUGCGAUUGUUCACUUUUAAAUUGAGGUUAUAUUUUAAUAUAUCUUAAAUGCAUCUUAAUUUUUAAAUUGACCAAAUGCUUUGCUGUUUUUAUUAGUUAUAGUUUAAAACAGUGUUGCGGCAUUUAUAACAAUGUAGCGCAUUGGGACCAGGAUGAGUUGAACAUCCGACCUCAGGUUUAUCAGACCUGCGCUCUAACCACCUGAGCUAUGAUCCCUUAAUCAUAUUAAUUAUUUACAAAUUUUAUUUUAAUCUUUUGGCUUUGUYAAUAUCUCUURUAUCUUUUCAAGAUACAAGAGAUAUUGCAUAUAGUUUAUAAUUUCUAAUAUAUCUAUCAUUAUCCGCUAUUUUAUAUAAGUGUUUUAUAAAAUUUGUUAAUUUUAUUUUUGCCCGUUUAAAAGUUUAUUAUAAUUGAUGUCGAUUUUUUUUAUAUUGAAAUUGUAUUAUUUUAUUAUGUAAGGUUGUUGUGAGCAAGUUAUAAAGACUUUUAAUACUAUUUUUGUUUUGGAGGUUUUUAAAAUCAUCUUAAGCCUGUUUAAAAGUAGAAAUAUUUUUGUUUUUUAAAGUGCAAUCAAUUUUUAGAAAUAUUUUUUAUUGGUCGAUAGAGCAAUUUAAUAAAUUUUUUAUAAUAUGUCUUUUGUUUUUACUGCUUAGAUAUUUUAGAUUAGUAUUUUCAUGUAAGCUUGUUUAAGUUAGACCAGUUCAACCUUUUUAAUUUGGUUUUCUCCUAUAAGGAUAUAUAUAUAAAAGAUAAUCUAAAAGUGCUAUGAAUGAUUUAUUAUAUAUGAUCAACGGUUGAUUUUUUGAAAAAUGCAAACAUUUUAUUAGCAAUUAUAAUUGAUGGAGUUCAUAAAUAUUCACUUCAAGAAUUAAUCUUUGUUAAUAGAUGGCAUAUUGUCAGACCUUUUAACCAAUUUUAUAUUAUCAAUUAAGAUUUUAAGAAUUUAUUAUUGAAAAUUUUUAAUCAAAAAAAAUAUUAACUGAUCAAGAAUUCUAUUAAAAUAAUUUGUUAGACAUAUUAAACCAUUUUAGUUUUUAUUUUUAUUGUGAGUAAUAUGUUUUUGCAUUUUAAAUGUGUGUUUUGCUAUUUUUUUAUUAUUACCUUGUUUUAAAAUUGAGUUUAUGGAUCGAUGGUUUUUUUUGCAAGACGCUACUACUGUAGCAAGGUUAUUGCUUGGUAAUUUAUUGAUCAGGAAGAUCAAUAAAAAGGAAAUAGUUACCAGAAUUGUUGAAACGGAAGCUUAUAUGGGAAUAACGGAUAGUGCUUGUCAUUCUUACAACAGAAAGAGAACAAAUCGCACAAAUGCUAUGUACAGCAUAGGAGGAUAUUCUUAUGUGUAUUUAAUAUAUGGCAUGCACUGUAUGUUUAAUAUUGUGACUGCAGAUGAAGAUAAUCCACAAGCUGUUUUAAUUAGAAGUGUAGAGCCUAUUUAUCCAUUAUUGAGGGACAAAUGGGCUCUUACUAAUGGUCCUGGCAAGCUUACAAAAUUUUUAAAUAUUGAUUUAACCUUUAAUGAAGUUGAUCUUAUUGGAAAUAAUAAACUUUUUUUGCAAAGAGGGUUUAAUCUAGAUUUCAAUGUAGUUUGUUCAAAAAGAAUAAACAUUGAUUAUGCACAAGAGGAUGAUAUAAACAGGCUUUGGAGGUUUUAUAUUAAAGAUAAUAAAUUUGUUUCAAAGCGUUGAUUUUCUUUUAAGGGCAAUUUAUUGGGAAUAAAUUAUUUGUGAUAUUAUACUUUAAAAGAGAGAUUUAUGUAUGAAUUCUAAUUAUAAAAGAUAUAAAAUGCUGGUUUUUGAUCUUGACGGUACUUUAUYGAACAAUAGUCAUGAGAUUACUUUUUUAACCCUUGAGGUUCUUUUGACUUUGGAGAAAGAUUUUAAAAUAAUUAUUGCAACCGGUAGAAGGUUAAGUGAAGUUAAAAAUAUYAGGAAUCAAUUAAAAGAAAUUAACAUUAAUGAAAAUUAUCUUGUAACGGCGAAUGGAGCUGAAGUUUUUUUGCAAGAAAAUUUAAUUUUUAGACAUGCAAUGAGUUAUGCUUUAGUAAAAGAAAUUCUCAAGAUACAUACAGGCAAUGUUGAUGUUAAUCUUUAUACUUUUGAUACUUGGUAUUCUAAUUCAGAUGUUAAAAGUCCUAUUAUGAAACAUUUUAUUAAAGAUUUAGGUUUAAAUGUUAUUGUUGGAGAUUUGACCAAAUUAAACGUUGAUUCUGUUUCUAAGAUUGUUUAUUAUUGUGACGAUCUAGAAACUCUUAAUAAGCUUGCCAAUGAGAUUAAGAGUAAAGAUUUUCAGGAUAUAAGGAUAUUUUUUUCUUCUAAGGAUUUAUUGGAGGUUACCAAUAUUAAUGCUGAUAAAUAUAAUGCUAUUAAAAAUAUUGCUUUUCUUGAAAACAUUCCAUUAUGUGAUGUUUUAGCUUUUGGAGAUAAUAAUAAUGAUUAUGAAAUGCUUAAAAAUCUUGGCAAAGGGGUUUUAAUGAAAAAUGCUAACGAAUUUCUUAAAAAGAAUUUAGCAAAUAAUGAAAUAACAAAAUUUAGCAAUAAUGAAGAUGGUGUUGCCAGGUUUUUGAUUGAUUUUUUUGAACUUGAUAAUAGUUAUGAAUAAUAAAUAUGAAUAAUUUGUAUCCGAAUGUUUAAUGUAUUUGGUUUGUUUUUAGCAGAAUAUUCUAUUUAAAAAUUUGAAUUUUUUAUUCAUAAUGUAUUUUUAUAAAUAAAUUUAUAAAAAUACUAGGAUAAGUAUUGACAUGGGUUAAACAAAGAUAUAUAUUAUUCUAUGUUGCAUAAACAAAUUGGCAAAAUAGAGAUGGAAGAUAAAAAUAU